AUCCAGCUGAUGAGUCUCAAAUAGGACAAAAUGUGAGUCCUGGAU
rnacentral:hammerhead_ribozyme from 1 species